GGAAUUCGAUUCAGGCCUAACACAUGCAAGUCGAGCGGGGUUUUCGGGCAUAGAGGCGGACGGGUGAGUAAUGCGUAGGAAGCUACCCGAUAGAGGGGGAUACCAGUUGGAAAGGACUGUUAAUACCGCAUAAUGUGAUACGGAUCAAAGUGUGGGACCUUCGGGCCACAUGCUAUCGGAUGUGCCUACGUGGGAUUAGCUAGUUGGUGAGGUAAUGGCUCACCAAGGCGACGAUCCCUAGCUGGUUUGAGAGGAUGAUCAGCCACACUGGAACUGAGACACGGUCCAGACUCCUACGGGAGGCAGCAGUGGGGAGUAUUGGACAAUGGGCGCAAGCCUGAUCCAGCCAGAGGCGCGUGUGUGAAGAAGGCCUUCGGGUUGUAAAUCAAAGGCAGUAAGGAGGAAGCGUUGAGUGUUAAUAGUACUCAGCG
rnacentral:rRNA from 1 species